UUGUAAUGAUGUUGGUCAAAUGUCUGAGCUGAAAAUAACCUGUGGACAAAUUAACACUGAAGAA
ensembl:snoRNA